AGAGCAUUUAUGGUUGACAAAGACUUUGCGGAAAUAAAUGCUUUGCAGAAGGUUUUUCCAGAGUCAGCUAUCCUUCUAUGCUGGUACCAUGUCUUGCAGGCUGUUAAUCGAUGGCUUUCAAAAUCAGAGUCCGGGGUCCAUGGGCUUUCUAACACCCAAAAGAGAAAUUAAAUCAUUUCUUUCUUUUGUAAGCUGAAAGCUUGCACAUCUGAGGACGACUUUAAAGCCACAUCAGCAGAGUUCUGCCAGACAUUUAAGCAAUACCCUUUGGUGUGCCAGUAUUUUCAGAAGCACUGGGAAGGCAUUGGCCACAUGUGGUGUGACUACGGCCGUCGCUUCAGUCACGCUCGUUCUGAAACAAACAAUGUGAUUGAAAGAUUUUUCCACCGCCUGAAAUACCAGUUUUUAUCUGGCUACA